CUACAUAGGCUAAAUACUGCCAAAACACUCAAUCCCAUCUGAUCUUGGAAACUAAACAAGGUCAGACCUGGUUAGUACUUGAAUGGGAGCUCACUAAUGAAUUCCAGGUGCUGUAAAAG
rnacentral:rRNA from 1 species